CAAGAGUGGUGAGAUUGGUCCCCGGGGAU
rnacentral:piRNA from 1 species